UUUUUGAACUGUAUCUCCUUUUAACAAAAUAAAACUCUCCCCCCACUCUCUCACGGCCUACAUUUUCUAUCUAGAUCUGGCACUUCAUCGAUAUACUUUAUCAACCCUCUCUUCUUUAAUUUACCUUUUCAAUCCUAAUUAGCUUCUUGUAACUACAUCGUCAUAAUUCGUUCGACCGGAUGCUUUGAUUUGAGGGCUUUGGAGCUUGGAGUUCAGAGUACCGGGGCUUUACUUCGAGUUUUGGAGCUUUCAAUGGGUUCAAACUCAAUGCCUAACACCAAGAAUAGAAGUCAAGUUUGCCGUAGUAUACCAUUUUGUGGUAUCAAGUAAUUUUUUUUUUCUGUUUUUUGUAUUACAUGCCAUUCUAAAGAUAUUUUCCAGAGUGCAAACUUGACAGAGUCUCUUGUAGUGAUAGAAAAAGAGAAAUCAGAGUGUAGUAGCGGACGCAGCAUGGACUGGAUCAAUGAAAUCAAAGAGUUAAAAGAAAUGGACACUCGUUUUCUACUCGUCAGAAUGUGUGACUGGUUGAGCUUCCUGGACUGAUAGUUCAUCUGCAGCCUCAGUAUUAAGUUCUUCCACAACAUCAGCAAGAUUUUCUGCUAGAUUUCCGGUUGCUCUAUCUUUUCCAAAGAUAGUACAGAGUUCUGUGAACCAUGGCAUAGCUGUAGUCUUCCAUUUAGAUGCUCAUGGGUGAACCUGCGAUAAAAAUUAGAUACUAAGAUAAAAUAGCAAAGUUAAAUUAUCUAGGAAUCCAUUUUCUGGGCAGCUGACUAUUUAAACCAAUGAGAUGAGUUAUCCGCUAAAAGUUCUGAUCACCCUUUUAAUAAGGUGCAGGCCAUUAAACUA